rnacentral:rRNA from 1 species
GCUACACAUGCAGUCGAGCGGUAACAGAAGUAGCUUGCUACUUUGCUGACGAGCGGCGGACGGGUGAGUAAUGCUUGGGAACAUGCCUUGAGGUGGGGGACAACAGUUGGAAACGACUGCUAAUACCGCAUAAUGUCUACGGACCAAAGGGGGCUUCGGCUCUCGCCUUUAGAUUGGCCCAAGUGGGAUUAGCUAGUUGGUGAGGUAAUGGCUCACCAAGGCGACGAUCCCUAGCUGGUUUGAGAGGAUGAUCAGCCACACUGGGACUGAGACACGGCCCAGACUCCUACGGGAGGCAGCAGUGGGGAAUAUUGCACAAUGGGCGCAAGCCUGAUGCAGCCAUGCCGCGUGUGUGAAGAAGGCCUUCGGGUUGUAAAGCACUUUCAGUCAGGAGGAAAGGUUAGUAGUUAAUACCUGCUAGCUGUGACGUUACUGACAGAAGAAGCACCGGCUAACUCCGUGCCAGCAGCCGCGGUAAUACGGAGGGUGCGAGCGUUAAUCGAAUUACUGGGCGUAAAGCGUACGCAGGCGGUUUGUUAAGCGAGAUGUGAAGCCCCGGGCUC